GGUGUAGAGGUUCAAGAGCACCACUGACAUGAGACCAAUCACUGCAAAUGUCAGGUAUCUGAAGCCCACAUAAGGUGAUUUACAGCAACAGAAAACUAAGGAUAGGUACUUUAUUUUGCUGAAAUAGAAUAAAACCCUCAAGCUAGGUGAGUACUUUUGUUUCAUUUCUCAGUAGUUAUUAAACCAUCACUAACAUAGACUAACUUCCUCUUGCACACACCUUCCCUUCCCUCAAAACCUUGUGAUAUUUCUUGUUUUAAUUGUUUGGUCUGUUCAUUAAGCAUAAGUAAUUUUUCUACUGGACAGCAUGCGAUUUUUGUACAGCUGGAGGAGAGACGAGAUGAUGUAGAUGAAUAAUGAAGACAAGCCAUCAACAGGAAGAUAAUCCAUACAUCAAGAGCCUUAGACCUGAGUUACAACUUGUGUAUAUUUUGAGGUAACAAUGUUAAAAGAUGGCCACAAGUCAGGUGAGAACUUUACUGUAUUUCUUAAUGAAUUCAAAAGCAUUUCCUUCAGGAAUUCCUCCCAAUCAUAUGGAUAAAGCUAACAUAUUGUACUAACCCCCUCUUGCACACCUCCUCUCCCUUCAUGCUUGUAUGUUUUGUUGAAUAUUUAUGACUGUUUACUAAUCAUAUGUUGAUUUUUGUCGGGCAGAAGGCAGUUGAUGCCUAACAAGUUUGGAAGUUGGACAUGACUGAUAGAAAGAAGACAAACCAUCAACAACAAAAUGAACUGUGCAUCUAGAGCCUUGUUGUAAUGAGACAACUAACCAGCAUGCAGUUGCUACCCAACAGGAAGAGAGAAGAUGACUGGAAGAGAAGAGACAAGCCAUCACCAGGAAGGUUAAUCCCAGACAUCAAGAAUCUCAGAUGAAGGAUGGGUACCUGUAUUUAUUUUGAGGUAACACAGUAAAAAAAAAAGUGGCCCUAAUUCAGGUGAGGACUUGACAGUUUUUUAUUGAAUCAACAUUAUUUCAAUCAGGAAUUCCUCCCAAUCAUAUGGAUAAAGCUAACUUGAUACUAACCCCCUCUUGCACACCCUCCCCUCCCUUCAUGCCUGUUCUGUUUUGUUGAAUAUUUAUGACUGUUUACUAAUCAUAUGUUGAUUUUUGUUGGGCAGCAAGCAGUUGAUGUCUAACAAGAAAGAAGAAGAGGGACAUGAUUGAUAGAAAAAAGACAAACCAUCAACAACAAAAUGAACUGUGCAUCUAGAGCCUUGUUGUAAUGAGACAACUAACCAGGACAGCAUGCAGUUGCUACCCAACAGGAAGAGAGAAGAUGACUGGAAGAGAAGAGACAAGCCAUCACCAGGAAGGUUUAUCCCAGACAUCAAGAAUCUCAGACACAGGACGGGUACCUGUAUUUAUUCUGAGGUAACACUGUAAAAAGAAUGUGGCCCUAAUUCAG